UACAGAGGUCUCAAGCGUUGUUCGGAUUCAUUGGGCGUAAAGGGUGCGUAGGUGGCAUGGUAAGUCGGAUGUGAAAUCCCGGGGCUCAACCCCGGAACUGCAUUCGAUACUGCUGCGCUAGAGUACUGGAGAGGAGAUUGGAAUUUACGGUGUAGCAGUGAAAUGCGUAGAUAUCGUAAGGAAGACCAGUGGCGAAGGCGGGUCUCUGGACAGUUCCUGACACUGAGGCACGAAGGCCAGGGGAGCAAACGGG
rnacentral:rRNA from 1 species